CCGCGUGCGGGAUGAAGGCCUUCGGGUUGUAAACCGCUUUCAAGCAGGGACGAUAAUGACGGUACCUGCAGAAGAAGCUCCGGCCAACUACGUGC
rnacentral:rRNA from 1 species